rnacentral:lncRNA from 1 species
AGAAAGGGAUCUUCAUUCCACCAAUUUAAUACUCCCUUCACAUAUAAACCCGCAUCAACUCCACUCAACCACAUCAUUGUCACCCCUAAUUUUUCAUCAACCGAUCAUAUACACAUAAUUUAUUCCAUUCACUACAAUCAUUCUCGGCUAGAAACAUUAAAUACACACACGACACAACAACAAAAUUGCAAUAACUGUCAAUGAUCAAGGUCCAACCACUGCAAACACCGUUCAAAAUCAACGAUCCACUAACACUGCUUCAAUUCAUCAUCAUAUAAAUCAUCCAAAACCACC